AGACAGAGGGUGCGAACGUUGCUCGGAAUUACUGGGCGUAAAGCGCGUGUAGGCGGACCGAUAAGUCAGGUGUGAAAGCCCUGGGCUCAACCUAGGAACUACAUUUGAAACUGUCGGUCUUGAGUGGUGGAGAGGGAAGUGGAAUUCCUGGUGUAGAGGUGAAAUUCGUAGAUAUCAGGAGGAACACCAGUGGCGAAGGCGGCUUCCUGGACACUAACUGACGCUGAGGUGCGAAAGCGCGGGCAGCAAACAGGAUUAGAAACCCCUGUAGUCC
rnacentral:rRNA from 1 species